GUCAGCCACCUGGGCGCGGAGGGAGGAAUCAAGUCUGUUGUACCAGACACCAGACCUUGAGAAUAUGCUGAUCUGGAAUGGCUCUGUGCCUCAUUUGAACCAUCAAAUAGAAUCCCUGCUCCUAGCUUGCGCCUUUUUCCCUAUAUAAGGACCCCUUUCCCUUGGCUCGGGGCGCUUGGCCUCAGAAAAGCUAAGUCGCCCCGGGUACCCGCGUCUCCAAUAAAGCCUCUUGUUUUUUACAUCCAGUUCGUGGCCUCGCUGAUUCCUGGGUGUGAGUCUCCCUCUACGAAAGUGCCUCUUCGGGGUCUUUCAUUUGGGGGCUCGGUCCGGGAUCGAGACCCGCCCAGGGACCACCGACCCACGUCUGGGAGACAUCUGAGUACCAGUUGCUGACUUCAGACUGUUCUAAGUAGACUGCGAACCCUAGACUUGCUAUGGAUGUGAACUAGUCUGCUGAUAUGGACACCCCCUAUCUCUGCAACAGUGUCUGCUAACCAGAAGCCCCUGAUGGAUUCCCCGUUGCCUAAAUUCCUUUUUGUUUUUGACUAGCAUUUCAACCUUCUGGGGUCCUUAACUUCGUCCCAAAGUCAGCAGGAAGCAGUUUGGAAAAGAAUUUCGCCGUCCAUUCUCCCUGGUUGAAAUGCUAAGUCAAAGGGAACUUCCUUGCGAGGGGAUGCCAGUACCUAUCACUCCCUGAUGGGGACACUAGAGACUGGGUCCUCCUACUCCCCCUAGCAUACCCCUAGGCCAUAUGGGCUCACACCUUUAAAAAAAAAAAACUUAUAAAGACCAGAGGGACCAUCCUACCAUUCCCCAUUCCUACCAGAUCGGGGACACUGUCUGGGUCCGGCGUCACCAGACCUCAGCGCCUACCAGUUGUGAAACUGCCAUGCAGCACAAGCUCACAUUGUCUGAGGUCUCAGGAAAGGGGCUAUGCAUAGGCAGUACUGGUUUGACCCCCUGCGUCUCUACUACCGUUCUCAAUGCCACUAUUGACUUUUGUAUAUUGACAGAACUUUGGCCCAGGGUCACAUAUCACCAACCUGAAUAUAUUUAUAGGGUACUAGAGAAGUCAACCCGACAUAAGAGGGAGGCAAUAUCCUUUACCGUGGCCCUAUUAUUAGGAGGGAUAACAGUGGGGGGCAUAGCAGCCGGCAUAGGGACCGGAACCAUUGCCUUACAGGGAAUUAAUCAUUUUAAGCUUCUACAACAAGCCAUGCACACGGAUAUCCAGGUCCUAGAAGAGUCAGUCAGUGCACUCGAAAAAUCCUUAACAUCACUCUCUGAGGUGGUCCUGCAGAACAGACGAGGGUUAGAUUUAUCAUUUUUACAGACCAUACAGGAAUAGUUAGAGACAGCAUGGCCAAGCUUAGAGAAAGACCUAACCAGAGACCUUUGAAUGAAAGAUUUCAUUCAGUCACAAGAGAAAUGGGGGAAUGAAAGGCCCGCUGCCUCUCUGUCUCCCCCCGCCUAUGCUGAUGCUGGGUGUUCUCUCUGGAGCAGCCGGGAUGGGCUGGAGAGUGCAGCGCGGGGCGAUAAUUGUCCGGGAGCUGCUAGCUGCCGCAGAGCUGCCCUGCUUCACCUUCAUCCUGCUGUCCCUGCCCCCGCCGGCCUCCACUUCCCCCGGCUGCCGUUUUCCCUCCCAAGCCGGUUCACCCAGGCGGGGCUGCCCUGGCACCGCGCCCCGGGGCUGGGGCCGAGCAGGGAAAGGGCACCCCUCGCCCCCACGCCCCCCCCCGUUGAGAAACACUCCGUCCCAAGGUCUCCGCCCCCAAGGUCAGCCACCUGGGCGCGGAGGGAGGAAUCAAGUCUGUUGUACCAGACACCAGACCUUGAGAAUAUGCUGAUCUGGAAUGGCUCUGUGCCUCAUUUGAACCAUCAAAUAGAAUCCCUGCUCCUAGCUUGCGCCUUUUUCCCUAUAUAAGGACCCCUUUCCCUUGGCUCGGGGCGCUUGGCCUCAGAAAAGCUAAGUCGCCCCGGGUACCUGCGUCUCCAAUAAAACCUCUUGUUUUUUACAUCCAGUUCGUGGCCUCGCUGAUUCCUGGGUGUGAGUCUCCCUCUACGAAAGUGCCUCUUCGGGGUCUUUCAGCAGCACAGAGUUUCUGGGAGUAACAAGCCAGUAUCUCAUUUGGAACCCAAACACUACUUGAGGGACUAUGAGCCUGAAACCACAUAGCCAGGAACCUAUGUUAUCUCUCUGAAGACACACCACUGAGAUUUCAGAAGCACGAUGCUCUCCCAGCUCUACAUGGAUCCUAGAGAUUUGAACUGAGGUUCUUCUACUUGCACCACAAGCACUUUACUCAGAGAACCAUUUCCUGAG
ensembl:lncRNA